GACCAGGAGUCAUGCGAAUGGCCGCCGCCUAACUCCGCCAGGUUCGGAAGGAAGCAACGGUAAGCGGCCGGUUAUUGCGCCGUGAUCCCCCUGGUUCGG
rnacentral:SRP_RNA from 1 species